AAGCCAAAGGAGCGGCUCUUCCGGGGUGUAAGGAUGAGGAAGUGGGGGAAGUGGGUGGCGGAGAUCAGGGAGCCCAACAAGCGGUCCAGGAUCUGGCUGGGGUCCUACUGCACCCCGGUGGCCGCCGCCAAGGCCUACGACACCGCCCUCUUCUACCUCCGCGGCCGCGCCGCCCGCCUCAACUUCCCUGACGACGUCUCCGUCGACGACGCUGGCAGCGGCGCCGACAUCGGCAUGCCGGCGGCGUUAAUAAGGAAGAAGGCGGUGGAGGUGGGCGCCAAGGUCGACGCGCUCCAGCUGAGAAGCGCGUCCGUCUUCUCCUCUC
rnacentral:lncRNA from 1 species